AUACGUAGGGGGCAAGCGUUAUCCGGAUUUACUGGGUGUAAAGGGAGCGCAGGCGGUUCUGCAAGUCUGAUGUGAAAGCCCGGGGCUCAACCCCGGGACUGCAUUGGAAACUGUGGGACUUGAGUGUCGGAGGGGCAAGUGGAAUUCCUAGUGUAGCGGUGAAAUGCGUAGAUGUUAGGAGGAACACCAGUGGCGAAGGCGGCUUGCUGGACGACAACUGACGCUGAGGCUCGAAAGCGUGGGGAGC
rnacentral:rRNA from 1 species